rnacentral:misc_RNA from 1 species
AUUUUCCUUACUUGGUUUUCCCUUUGACAAUGAAAAUAUUUUCCGUUAACUAAUUUUCCUGAAUACCCAAACGCUAGAAAAUUUGAAAAAUAUUUUUCAGGAAAAUAUUUUCUAUUAAACAAAUAUACAUAAUGAUUUUUUAAAGAAGAAAAAGAUAUUAAAUAAAAAAAAAGGAGGUAUCUGAGUCAAGGAACAUGAAUUAAAGAAUAAUGGAAUUAAUUAAGGUAGGGUAGGAGAAAGAGAGGGCUUUGUGACCUUGAGUUCUCCACAGUCACUGAUAUAAACAGUCCUAAGGGGCCUGUUCCAAAUUGCACGCGCAUUUUGGGCUCUUUCAUCUCCAAGAAACUCUGCCAAAUCAUUGAAUUGCCUAAUUCUUUCUGAUGGUUUGUAUGUUGGUAUUGAAGCUAUGGCCGUCACUACAUCCAAUCCUGCAAUCCAAUUCAAAUUACUAUGCAAUUUCUUGCGAAAAUACAUAAAUCAAUUUCUAUAAGCAAUUCUUUAUUGUACCUGAUAUGAUCCUAAGAGCACUUGCCAGUUAUUAUUACCACUGCACUGUAACUACACUACCCCUUAUUCCUUUUAUGUCUUCCCAUACCACUAUUACCUCUUAUUCCUUGUAUGUCUUCCCAUGCCACUAUUAUUAUAAGAAAUUCUUGCUUAAACCUAGUUCAUCGUUAACCAAAGACAAAACAUGUAUUGUGGAACUCGCAUAUAAAAUAAAUGAGACUCACAUGUUUGCAUUGUCAAUCCAUAAUGAUAAGGUCUAAUUAAGUUUUUUGCCUGUUGCCAUUAAUAUUAUUACCAUUACCGAAGUAGUGGCACCUCCAGGCACCAUUAGAUCAAUCUUUUAUGGCAGUUGCAACUCCAAAAUCUAUUAUCACCUACAAUCAACGCCAAUCCCUUCUGAAAGUAAGCUAUGAGAUCAAAAUUGCAAGAUAAAGGAUCCAAAGUCCAUUUAAUUGGCUGGCCUGAUGUUUGUUAAUGGUGAUUAUCCUUAUAAUCACUGCAAUUAACCUUGAAUCAAAAUUUGGUAGAACAAGUUCAUAGUUUCCAAGUUAUAAUAGAAUAAUAAAGAUGAAAUAAGAGGGGGCCAUUCAUAAAGACGCUUAACAAAAAUGACCAUAAAGAAAACAGAGCAGUCAAACGCAAGAUCAGCAUAUGCUGUCAUUGAAGAUGCAUACACUCACAAUUAUCACCAGAAAAAUAACUUUUUUAUGGUAGCUAUGAUCAAAUGGUGUCUUAUAAUUAACUUUACACACACUUCUAAUUUAUAUUCUAGCGCUUGUUCAAAGCACAAUCUAUUCAAGCUUCCAUUGUGCAUUCAGAAAUUAUCUUUUAGGGACAGGCCAUGAAGAUCAAAUGCAAGAUAAUAUACCGAAGAGUGAAUCUUGCUACAAAUCGAACUAACCCUUUGCAUGAAAAAUAAUUUGGGUGCACAGGGAGAUGAUUGAUAUUUAAUUUCAACUUUGAUCAAGCAAUUGAUUUGAUUCAUUAUAGAAAUCAUGCCUAAAGCUAGCCAGCCCACAAUUUCCGUCAAGCAUAUGAAGCAUCAGCACAUAUGAAACUAGCAAUAUAUAAAUCAAUUUGAAUUCAAGAAUAGAAAUUACACAAGCAUGAAAUGCUUCAAAUGAAAUGAACUGAAAAUUAAAUAACUGAGAUUGGACAAACAUGAAAGCAUUUAAUACUAAUUGAGCCGAAAAUUAAAGGGUGAUGAUUUCAGAAAAAUUCGUAAUUGCUGGAAAAAAAAUCCAUAAAACUCACCUUCAAGCACAACUCCAAAAACAAUGUUCUUGUUAUCCAACUGUGGGCAAGGAGCAGGCCCUGUAGUGAUCAAGAAUUCCACAUUUCUGUAAUUUGGGUCCAGCUUAAUAUCAUCCUCGUCGUCAUUCUCAGAUAAACACAACGAAACAAUUCCAGGCCUUGAAUGCGUCAGCUUGAACGCUUUAGAAUCAACGGUCUCUGUGUUUCUCACCAGCUCCAGUGGAGGUCUCACCUCUCCUUUAUCCCUCCUUCCCUGGCGCCCCGCCAGGAAAAACUGGCCUGGAAAGAUUUUGUGCACCAGAGUGUUCUUGUAGGAGGAGGUGGCGCACAUGGUCUUGAAGUUGGACACUGUGAGAGGGACCAGGUGGCCAUAGAGGCCGAGGACGACGCGGCCCAGAGGGACGGUUUCUGUGCAGAGAGUGGAAAGGGUGUCAGAGAGAGUGCGGUCGGGGCGGAAAUAGGUGGGACAUAGAGAGAAGUCCAUGAAGACACGGUCGGUUAUGGUGGUGUCAAGGGGUGUUGGAAGGGGAGGGAGAGAGGAGAGUGAAGCGGAGAGGAGGAGGGAGCGGCGAGUGAUGGUGGGAGUGGUGGAGAUGAGCGGAGUAUGAUGGUGGUGGUGGUGGGAAAGGAGUGGUGGCGGAGGUGGAGGGGUUACAGGUGAGGCCAUGGAAGCGAGUGGACAUGGUUAGCUGGGAAGGGAGGAAGCGGAUCAACAUUUGAG